UUAUGAUGAAACCUAAACUAAUAGCUGGAAUUACCGGCAGAUUGUGCAGUGUUGAUCACUUGUUUCCUGAAC